GACGAACGCUGGCGGCGUGCUUAACACAUGCAAGUCGAACGGAAAGGCCCUGCUUUUUUGGGUUGCUCGAGUGGCGAACGGGUAAGUAACACGUGAGUAACCUGCCCUUGACUUUGGGAUAACGUUAGGAAACUGGGGCUAAUACCGGUUAGGCACUCCUGCUGCAUGGUGGGGGUUGGAAAGUUUAGGCGGUUGGGGAUGGACUCGUGGCUUAUCAGCUUGUUGGUGGGGUAGUGGCUUACCAAGGCUUUGACGGGUAGCCGGCCUGAGAGGGUGACCGGCCACAGUGGGAAUGAGAUACGGCCGGGACUCCUACGGGAGGCAGCAGUGUGGAAUAUUGCAUGAUGGGCGGAAGCCUGAUGCAGCAAGGCCGCGUGCGGGAUGACGGCCUUCGUGUUGUAAACCGCUUUGGCAUGGGAGGAAGCGUGAGUGACGGUAAUGGGUAAAGAAGCACCGGCUAACUACGUG
rnacentral:rRNA from 1 species